AACGAACGCUGGCGGCAUGCCUAACACAUGCAAGUCGAACGAGAUCUUCGGGUCUAGUGGCGCACGGGUGCGUAACGCGUGGGAAUCUGCCCUUUGGUUCGGAAUAACAGUUGGAAACGACUGCUAAUACCGGAUGAUGACGAAAGUCCAAAGAUUUAUCGCCAGAGGAUGAGCCCGCGUAUGAUUAGCUAGUUGGUGUGGUAAAGGCGCACCAAGGCGACGGUCCUUAGCUGGUCUGAGAGGAUGAUCAGCCACACUGGGACUGAGACACGGCCCAGACUCCUACGGGAGGCAGCAGUGGGGAAUAUUGGACAAUGGGCGAAAGCCUGAUCCAGCAAUGCCGCGUGGGUGAUGAAGGCCUUAGGGUUGUAAAGCUCUUUUACCCGGGAUGAUAAUGACAGUACCGGGAGAAUAAGCUCCGGCUAACUCCGUGCCAGCAGCAGCCGCAG
rnacentral:rRNA from 1 species